rnacentral:rRNA from 1 species
UACAGAGAUGGCAAGCGUUGUUCGGAAUCAUUGGGCGUAAAGCGCACGUAGGCGGCCUCGUAAGUCGGGUGUGAAAGCCCCUGACUCACUCAGGGAACUGCAUUCGAUACUGCGAGGCUUGAGGACAGGAGGGGAGAGUGGAACUUCUGGUGGAGCGGUGAAAUGCGUAGAUAUCAGAAGGAACACCGGUGGCGAAAGCGGCUCUCUGGUCUGUCCCUGACGCUGAGGUGCGAAAGCUAGGGGAGCAAACGGGAUUAGAUACCCCGGUAGUCCUAGCCGUAAACGAUGGGCACUAAGUAGGGGGCUAAAACCUCCCUGCCGUAGCUAACGCAUUAAGUGCCCCGCCUGGGGAGUACGGUCGCAAGACUAAAACUCAAAAGAAUUGACGGGGGCUCGCACAAGCGGUGGAGCAUGUGGCUUAAUUCGAUGCAACGCGAAGAACCUUACCGGGGCUUGACAUGAUGGAAGUAGGAACCCGAAAGGGGGACCAACGGUAUCCAAUCCGUAACCACCACAGGUGCUGCAUGGCUGUCGUCAGCUCGUGCCGUGAGGCGUCGGGUUAAGUCCUCUAACGAGCGAAACCCUUAUCUCUAGUUGCCAGCGGGUCACGCCGGGAACUCUGGAGAGACUGCCGUCGUCAAGACGGAGGAAGGUGGGGAUGACGUCAAGUCAUCAUGGCCUUUAUGC